rnacentral:rRNA from 1 species
GAUGAACGCUGGCGGCGUGCCUAAUACAUGCAAGUCGAGCGAAAGGACGAGACGCUUGCUUCUCUGAUGUUAGCGGCGGACGGGUGAGUCACACGUGGAUAACCUACCUAUCAGACUGGGAUAACUUCGGGAAACCGUAGCUAAUACCGGAUAAUAUUUUGAACCGCAUGGUUCAAAAGUGAAAGACGGUCUUGCUGUCACUUAUAGAUGGAUCCGCGCUGCAUUAGCUAGUUGGUAAGGUAACGGCUUACUAAGGCAACGAUGCAUAGCCGACCUGAGAGGGUGAUCGGCCACACUGGAAGUGGGACACGGUCCAGACUCCUACGGGAGGCAGCAGUAGGGUAUGUUCGGCAGUGGGCGAAAGCAUGACGGAACAACGCCGCGUGAGUGGUGGAGGUCUUCGGUUCGGAAAACUCUGUUAUUAGGGAAGAACAUAUGUGUAAGUAACUGUGCACAUCUUGACGGUACCUAGUCAGAAAGCCACGGCUAACUACGUG